GAGGCUUUAGCUUAAUUAAAGUGUCUGGGUUGCAUUCAGAAGAUAUGGGAUAAAGUCCUGUAAGUCUUA
ensembl:Mt_tRNA